rnacentral:sRNA from 1 species
GGUGGGUGAGGUGGCAUGCACCUGUAGUCCCAGCUACUUGGGAAGCUGAGGCUGGAGUUUCACUUACGCCCAGGAGAUCAAGACCAGCCUAGGCAACAUAGUGAGAUUUUAUCUCCA